rfam:Triticum aestivum genome assembly, contig: Triticum_aestivum_CS42_TGACv1_scaffold_435901_5DL
CACGUACUCCCUCUGUUCAGAAUUACUUGUCAUAAAAAAGGAUGUAUCUACAACUAAAAUACAUCCAGAUACAUUCAUUUCUUGGAUAAGUAAUUCCGAACGGAGGGAGUAGAUA